GGUUCCCUGUCGUGUUCGUGAUGGCAUGUAAAUCCUGAGCUAACAGCUGAACAUCGGGGGUCCUUAUCCUCCCAGUAAAGUGGGGGAAAAGGAUACCCACCUGAGUUAAGAGUUCAGAGGAUAAAGUGUCACACGGCAACUGGCGGAGAACCC
rnacentral:other from 1 species